rnacentral:rRNA from 1 species
AUGCAAUGGAGAAGCAAUGUACAUGCAGCAGCCAUGCUACAUGUCAGGCCAGCAGCACAGGCCGUGGCUAAUGCAACCUACUACUCACAGAUGCAGCCACAGAUAAUGUAUCCGAGUGCGGAGAUGAUGGCGCAUGGCAAUGUACAGGCACAGGCGCAGGCCGCCAUGUACUACCAGGCAGCAUCUCCGAACAACUCCAACACUCAACAAAUGCGCGUACUCCAGUUCCCCCCGGCCGCCGGCAGCUACGGGGCGCCUGACGCCUACUCCCACCGCCCCGUGCUUCUGAAUCUGUUCCCACAGCACCCCACCUUUGCAAAUCGCAAGAAGACCCAUCGCGUCGGGAGCGUUGGCUCCGUGAGGCCAUCGACCUCAGGGUCGAUCUCUUGGGAAACGGAGAGUCCCAAGAUCCCCAAUAGACACAUUUUUGUCGAUCUAAGACUUCUUUGGUGA